CCUGGCAGCUCCUUCCUGGGGCCGAGGGCCAAAAUCCUGACAAGAUUAAGAAGAGGCUUUGGGACUGGGCCAUGCCGGGAAAACAGGAAAGAUGACGAAUCAAACUCCCCUCUUUCUGGGGGAUGUUUAUUCCAGUGUUCCCUCAGCUGAGUUUUCUGGAUACACAGUAACCCUUGACUUUUCAUCCUGUGCCCAGCCUCUGGCCCCACGGCAACUAGGACACCCCUUAAUCCUAGAGCUCUCAGGACGGGCUUGCUCCCAUGUCUGCUUGGCUAACUGCACCGAACUCCUGGAAAGCAGGAAGAGCACAGAUAUAUCUUAACUGAGUGUGUACCUCGUUCCAUGGGAGAAACCGUCCUCUCAUACAAGCCUCUCCAGCUCCCCAGGAUCAGAAAAUCGUCACAGAGACCAAUUAAGAAGCUUGCAUGUAAAAAGUGGCAGAGCUGGGAUCCGAACCCUGGCAGUCUGGCUCUGGACACCACCUCUUGCCCAUCGCCCUCCACUGCUGUGCUGAUCUGUCGUCCUUCCCUCCCACUGCCAGUUCCCCUUUCCGUCCAACAGUUACUUAUUGAUCAGUCGCUCUGUUCCAAGCACUGUGCCAGUAGGGCCCAGCCCUUGUGGAGGUGACAGUCUGUCAGGUGGAGCCCUGGCUCUGCCAUGUCCUGAUCCCGUGACCUUGGAGAAGUCAUUUAACUUCGCUGUGUCUCAGUGUCUUCGUGAUGACAUGGUGUGAUAGUCCCGGUCUCCUCAGGCUGUGGGGAAGAUGGAGUGACUCAAAGCUGCGGAAAGCUGGGGCCGGGCACACGGAGGGCAUGGGAAGCAUGAGUGUAAUCCUAUUGGUGUCAUACUGGAGAAGCUCUUCCAACCCACGGGGCCUGGCCGCCAAGUGGAAGAGUGGAAGCAGCAGCAAGCCAGAGCCCGACACCCUGGCCUUAAGCCCUGGCUUUGGCACCGUGACUGUCCCAAACAUGGGAUUUUGGACAAGCUGCUUCGUCUUUCUGAUUUUUUUCCUCUGUAAAACAGGAAUGACUAAUACCAACCUUGUGGUGUCCUUGUGGUUGUUCAAUGAAGUAACAAGGCUGAGAGCUUGGCACAUAAUAGGGGCCUUUGGAAGAUUUCGUUUCCUGUCCUCUAGAGGAAUCGGGAGGCGGAAUAGCCCAGGGGUCAGCACAUCUGGAGGUCUGACGUGUCCCCUUCUCCCAGGGAAGGCCCCGACCUGACACGCUGCAGGAUGCUGUUUUCUUCUUUCGCUUCCUUUCUUUGUUCCUGUUCGAAUUUCGUUUCUUGAGAAAGAAGAGUGUUUCACACAGCCCCGCCCAUGCAUGGGGCUCUGUGUUAACUGUCCUGGUGCCUGGCAGAGGGCUCCGUCUUGGUCUUUUGUCCCCCAGGGCAGAUGGAGGACAGUUGGUGGGUGUGGGGUCGCAGGGCUGCUCUGCUCGUAAGGCCCCGAGAAACCAGAGGGCAGGCUGGGAGCUGAGGGCUGAGAGGCAGCUGAGGACUGGGAAGCCCCGUCUGGUCCAGCCUCCUCCAAGGUCAAGGGGUGUCCUGGCCCCCCUCUCUCCCCUCCCAUGCUGCUCCUGAUGCCUCUGCUGCUCCUUCUCAGAGACCAGAAGAGGGGGCAGAGCUGUCGCCCUGUCCUGGGGGUGCUGAGACUGGACGAGGUGGACAGUGUGUGGUGCCCAGGGACCAGAGUGAGGGCAGCUGGGCAGUGAGAAGUGGCUGCUCAGGGAUCUGGCCAACCGGGGGGCAUCACCUCCUCCCAUUCCACUAACUGCCUCCCAGGGUCAUGGUGCCUAGGGCCUCAUAUUAGGGUCACCCAACAGUUGUUCCUCCUGACUGGGUGCUUCCACACACAUUAUCACUGACACCAUAGUCACAACUGCCCCUCUGUUUCAGAGAUGGGGAAACUGAGCCUCAGCAGCAGGACGAGAUGCGACCGACCCAAGGUCCUGCAGCAAGGAAGUGUCGGAGUCUGGAGGGGAUUCAUGCCCAGCUCUGCCUCCCCAUCCCCCCCCACCCUCCUCUACCCUGCCCCCAGCCCCCUUCCCCACCACCCCGCUCCUCCAGCACUUAAUUUUAAUGACCCUUUGAUUGCGCGCCUCUUCUGAGGAGAGACUAAUCAUUAUUAAUGAAUUUGGGCUGCUCCAGUGUAAAUGAGACAAUGGGGCUGGCUGGCACGUAGCUGGAUGAGCAGCGAGCAGGGAGUGGGCAUCUCCCUUUGGGCCACAGAGAGCCCAACGACCCAACCUCUCUUUAGUCAUUUAUUUCUCUCCCCAGUUAAACCAGACAGUGGGCCGGAAGGAUGCUGGAGUGUCAAGGCCUGUCCGCCCUCCGCCCGUGGCCAUUAUUCCAGAGAGGGGGCAGCUCACCAAUGACCAGGAGGGCCCAGCCUGAGGGCAGAGCCCAGGGCUCCUGGGACCCCCAUCAUCCAGCAGCGUCCCCAGCCUGGGGUGGGGGUCAGGGCAGCUGCAGUGGGGUCCCGCCUCUCACCCCGCAUGCUGGGCUGUUUUCUUGGCAGCAACAGACCUUAGGAAGGCUCACAUGGCCGGUUUUUAGAUUUGUUUUCCAAAAUUGAAAAGAGAGAAAUAAUCCUAGAGGGAAACAAAACAAAACAAAACAAUAAACAGAAAACAAACACAAUCUCUCUUAGGCUCUUUCCAUCCUGAACCUUAUCCUGGCUCUGUGUCAACUUCCUGGCAUGUGAUCACCUUUGGGACCAGCCCUUGGCAGUGGCAGCAGAACUGGACUUGCUCCUACCUGACUCUGGGGACCUUGAACUGACCCCAACCUCUCUGAGCCUCACUUCCUCAGCUGUGGAAGAGGGGUCACGUUACAUGUAAUAUACAUUAUAUAUCGGAUGAGAUGGGGGUGAUGGAUGCAUUUGCAAAUGAGGCCUUAUGAUGAUAAUUUUGUCACAGGCAGGAGACAGACACACUCACUCACACGCCCCCAAAUCAUUAAAGAGGCCUCCCCCUGAAGGUGCUCCUUGCUUCUUGAGACGACCGCGUGAUUACUCUGUAGGUUCCGUGUAAUUAUUUAAUCAAGCCGGGACCAAGCCCU
rnacentral:lncRNA from 1 species